rnacentral:tRNA from 1 species
GGCUGAUCGCCGACGGAUCGGGCGCCACCAUCCCGGUGGCCGGCGACGCGAUCCUCGCCCUGCGCUUCGAGCGCGCGGUCGGCCAC